GACGAACGCUGGCGGCGUGCUUAACACAUGCAAGUCGAACGGAAAGGCCCUGCUUGCCGGGUACUCGAGUGGCGAACGGGUGAGUAACACGUGGGUGAUCUGCCCUGCACUUCGGGAUAAGCUUGGGAAACUGGGUCUAAUACCGGAUAGGAGCCAUCUUUAGUGUGGUGGUUGGAAAGUUUUUUCGGUGUAGGAUGAGCUCGCGGCCUAUCAGCUUGUUGGUGGGGUAAUGGCCUACCAAGGCAGCGACGGGUAGCCGGCCUGAGAGGGUGUACGGCCACAGUGGGACUGAGAUACGGCCCAGACUCCUACGGGAGGCAGCAGGGGGGAAUAUUGCACAAUGGGCGCAAGCCUGAUGCAGCGACGCCGCGUGGGGGAUGAAGGCCUUCGGGUUGUAAACUCCUUUCGCUAGGGACGAAGCUUUUUGUGACGGUACCUAGAGAAGAAGCACCGGCUAACUACGUG
rnacentral:rRNA from 1 species